rnacentral:lncRNA from 1 species
GUUUGAAUGAUCUGGAACUAUGUAUGAGCUUUCUAGUACGGUGUCAUUGGAUUAUGUCGAACUCGUUUAAAAGGACGUAUUUUUUUGUACAGGAUUUAAGCGGUCUAGACGGAGAUGCUUAUUUUAAGGUAGAUUCUGAGUCAAGACUUAUUGGACUGUCAACCAAAAGGCGGCUGAUUAAUCGCCUUCGCACUGAUUGUAGGUUGGCAAACUUGCCAGUCUAUCCAAAUGGGUGGUUUUGCCUUCUGGAAUCUGCUUCUCUCGGAAAGAGUUGGCCCAUGCCUGACAGAAGUCAAACCAGCGAUCGGGUUUGGGUGUACUGUCGGAAUACUUUAUUAUACGCCCAUAGGACCCUUCCAACAAAGGUCUUCAUUUUUGUGGUACUCUCAUCCGGCGACGAUGUUAUUAGGCCGAAUGCUACAACAUAUUUCUGUAACAAAUCUUGAACGAGAUAUAUUUAUCUGGAAGUACAAAAACAUUGCAGCAAAAUCAAUCUACGUGAAAGAAGAUGGACAAAGAAAGGCAUAUAUGCGUUGGUACAACCAAUUUCACUCUGAAAAUAGUCCUCGCUUAAAGUUUAAUGUUGAUACUUUAUCUUGGUGAUGAAAUGCAGAGAGUUAAAUGAGUUUCAAUUGUCCUCACGUAGUUGUAAUAUUCAUGUAUUCCCACAAAUAAAUGACGCUCAGGUAAUGCAGCUAGCUGCUCGAAUGAUUCCAUCUGAACGUAUCCAUUCAAAAAAUGAAAAAUCAUAAUCUCUAAUUACCCCUACUCCCUAAUCCAAAAUAAACCAAUAAAGGAACAAAAUAUUUUAUCUCCAGUUAAAGGAGUAGUAUAUGUAUAAUUUCGCCGCUCCUCUGGUUUAAGGGUGUAACUCUACUUUGGGAGGAGCUCUACCCUGCUUUCCUGACAAUAUCUUUGCUGUUAUGGGCACCUCUGUAAAAGAAAACAAAUUCUACUACUACAAAUCCAAGAAAUCCCACCAUCGGAUUGGUAAUAUAUGUCGCCUACUCAUUGAUUCAUCAAAUAUUUUCCUCAGCAUACAGGUAAAAGUUUCCGAGGAAACGGCUUUUUUCAAUUUUUUGUUUCAUUUAUUGUAAAUCCAAUUUUUUCCUCGUGAAAAUCACUAAAAAGUUUUUGAGGAGCUUGGAGGACAAGGCAGUAAGGCACAUAAGUGCAGUUUUUGUAUUUCGAGAAAUUGGUGCUUGCGGUUUCGAAAUUACAUGAAUCCUUGUGACGGGAAAAAAGUUUAAAUCGACUUUUUUAUGCUUAAAUAUUGGAAUUUGGGAGCGAAUUUUGACAGAAUAUGCAUGAAGACUAUUUUGAUACUUGAAUUCAUUAAUAUCUCAAUUUUUUCAAAAACUCCACCUAAGCGCCUUGUCCUCUAAGCCCCUCAUUUAAAAAUUACAUAUUUUUGAAUCAUUAAUAUUGAUCUAGAACACAAUUCAUUUUCAUCCGCUGAAAUCCGAACCCACCCAUUUCGUGGCACGAGCGCUCGUGCUUUUUUUUACUUUUUGUUGUUUUUUGUUGUUGUUGGUAUAACGAGAUAAUACACCUUCAAUGGAGGUCUUUCAAAUAGAAAAACAGAGCAAAUUAAAUUAACCCCUGUCCAAACAUAAAGUAAGGAGAAUAGAGCACGAGGUAUAAACAAAUAAUCCCGACAAUGCGCCGUUAAUCGGAGACCUAGUUGUCUCUAUGAGGAGGCUGUUUGGUGGGUAGGAAGUACGAAUAAUCCCUUAAGACUGAAUAAUAAGAGGAAGAAUAAGAGAGAAAAAACAAAAACUAAUAGAUGAAAGCAAGAAGUUGGGAAUGCACGUGGGGUGAGACAAGCAGUGCUGGAACUGGCGCAUACACGUGUGAUGGUGUCACGGAAACUGGAGAAGCUGCACUUUAUAUACCGGAAGCUGUGCGACUGGGAAACUAUGCUAUACUUUUAUGCUAAAAGGAACCAUAUGCGUAGGGUUUGCCUGCAAAAUAGCUCCUUUUAGCAUAAAUACGUCUAAGAACUAGAACGGCGAGCUCGCCAACGUUUUGAAUACCUAUUGCCAUUGGCAAGAAGUAACAAUUGUAAAUUGAUAAUUGUAAUUUAUAAAAAUAAAUAAAAUAUUUUCUAACAUACACUGUCCAAGUGCAAAACAAAAGAGUAACGGUUUUUGACCCUAGAUGACAUAGAUUCACAAUAAUGAUUCCAUUCAGUAUUGAAGUAAUUUAUCAAUAGGAUAAUGAAUCGCAGAGGUUUGGGCCUCGAAAUUUUUGAUUGGCGAAAUCAUCAAAAUGGCAGAUGACCUCCUCUCGUGGAGACACGUGAAAGGAUACCCUCCCCCAUGACCUACAGCUUUUAAGCAUGUUCAAAAGCGCAGCGUUUGUUGGUUAUGGAAAGAGACUUUAAUGGGACGAAUUCUUGGAAUCGUUGUGCUUUCGAUAACUUUUAUUUCAACGCUGGGUGGCGCUUACCUUUAAAUUUCAUUGUUUAUCAGUUAGGAGUUAAGACGACGUGCAGUUUUCUUAGACAUUUUUUUCAUUCUGCUCUCUCAGCAGCGCAAACAUCUUCGAUUAAUGUUUUCAGAAGAUUUUUAUAAGAAGCAAUUAAAAUGUCAGUGGUUUGCUCAAGGCAUGACAGCGCCAAUGAACAUGUUCAAGCUUUGUCAAAUACUAUCGUGAACGGAAUGAUCUGCAUAAUGUUUUGCCUAUCUUGCAAGAUGAAGGCAUUUUGUAGAGCCUCAGUAUUCCUAUUUGUCAGUAGAGACUUUUAACCAAAUCCAGCCUCCACAACUCAAUACUUAACCGAUAAUACCUCUUACAACUAAUUCAUCGUCUUUUUCGUCUUCUUUUUGAUAUAUUUAUUUCAUUAUUGGAAUUUCAAAAGUUUUUUAAUGUAUAUAGAUUAUUUUGAAUAAAAUUCGUCAAUUUAACAUACCUAAAUGUUUGUAUUGAUGUGUUUCUUUAUUGACAUUGUCAGUGUAGAAACACAUUUUCCCACCACGGAGAUUCAACAUUUCUGCUAUUAAAAUUAGAAAUAAUAAAAAAUUAGCUUACUGGGAAUAUUGAUUUUAUUUAUCAGAAAAAUACUCAAUAGUAAAAAAAUACCAGGCCCAUUCCUUGCAGUCUCGUCAACAUUUGUGCGGAAAUGACGCCAUGUAAUAUUACCUGCAAAAAAAUGAAGGAAAUCUGCAACGUUGCAAAUCAAGGCACUUUUUUUGUUUUUUCAUUGAUCUUUAAAGUCACAAAAUGUUUAAAUGCACUAUGCUGUCGUAAAUGUUUUCUUUUCGAAAUAUACAUUAACUCGGAAAACUAAUUGAAAUCAUGUGUCAAAAAAUUCU